rnacentral:lncRNA from 1 species
AUGCUGAUAAAAAUAUGGAAUUUAAGGAUUGAAAUCCAACUGAACUUGGGCUUCCUGCUUCAUCCUGCACCUGCCUUCUUGAAAGAAAACAAGACAUCAGAUACUUACUCAAAUAAUGGAAUAGCUGAUCAACUAGGUUUUCACACAAUACUGGCACAGUGUUGGUGAAUUGACUGGAACCAGAUGUCCUUCCUUCCUGGAAGGGAUGAUGUCGUAUUGGAGCCUGGAAAGUUAUCCAGUGAAGCAUGGAUGAACUGGAGAAUAACAAGAGAAAAAGCCAGUGAUGCUGAAAGCAGCUACUCCUGCCUUCUCCUCUGCUUUUUGCCAGCUUCUUCCUAGAUAUGAAUUUGGAAUUGUCCCCUGUUAGCUUAUAUCUGUUUCAUAAUCAUAUUUUCUUUGUGGUCAAGUUGCAAAGCAGAAUGGCUGCCAGGGGUUAGGAGAAUCAUUGUUUGGCCUUCCUUGGAAUUUUCCCCAGAUACCCUAGAAGGUUAUUUUUCCGCUUUUUACACUUGGUGCGCUGUUUGAUAGUGUGACACCUGGUGACUGGAGUUUUCUAGCUCUCCACCUGCUCACAAAAUAUGGUAUUUCUUUGAUCUAAAAAUACUCUUCUUGUAAGAUGUAGAAGAGAAAAAAACAAAUUAAAAAGUUUAAAUAGUCAAAUUAAGCAAGCAGCAUUCAAGAUUAACCUGGGCUCCAUCUGACGGCUGCUUUUGUUCUCCCCUCCCCCCGAUCCAGGGAGGAAGAGGA